CUUUUUUCAAGUCAUGGCACACAUAAACUAAUUCCUAAAAUUCUGUGGCACACCAAAAAAUACUUUUUUUGCUCAUCUGACAAAAAGAUAGGUAUAAUUCUGGUUCAUUCACAUCAGAUGGCUAUUGUUAUGUUGGCUGUCAUUUUUUUUUGACAAUCGAAGAUAAAAGAG